CAGGAUAUUACAUGCAGCUUCUGGUGACGAGUUCCAGGCUAUCAAGCCAAUUAAAGUGGAAUCCUUGCAAAAAAAGAGUCACCCAGAUUGAAGUGUGCUAAAGAUCAUGCAUGAAAUGUAGCCCGCUUGGCCAGAAGCAUCUUAAGCAUCCCAGCAACACGAGUCCCCGGCAAACAAGUUCAGCAAGGCUGGGCAGAUUGGAAACAAGCUCCGUUCCUCUUUAUACACAAAGAAUGUGGAUGCUGUCCUGUUUAAGAAAAACUAAAUAUAAGAAGAGAAAACUAAGAUAGAGGACUGUUUUUUGUAAAUAAGUUAUGUUUUUGUUGCCGAAGAUGAACCAUCCAUUACUUGUUCAAUUAUUCAAUGGAUUAUUUCUGUGCUUUUACCACCACUUGGCACCAACCAAGUUGAAAAUAAGGCAAGACAUUUUCUUAGAGGAGUUAUGUAUAAUCUGAUGUAAUUUAAUGAUGUAAUAGUUGUCAAUAAUUUAGUAGCUAUUCAAUAUAUCAGUAACUAUUACUUCUGUUAGUUUUGGUGACUUUAAGGACAUAGAUGAUGAAGUAGGCUUCGAUGAUAAAAAAUGAGAUAUUGUUCCAGCCUUACAGAUAUCAAGUGUGCUGUGUCCUCUAAUAACAUUAUUCUAAUCAUUUGAUUUGAACAAAGUCUUAGAUAAUACUGGAAAAUAUUGGAAUGUUAGUUGGU